ACGCACGCUGGCGGCGUGCUUAACACAUGCAAGUCGAACGGAAAGGCCCUGCUUUUGUGGGGUGCUCGAGUGGCGAGCGGGUGAGUAACACGUGAGUAACCUGCCCUUGACUUUGGGAUAACUUCAGGAAACUGGGGCUAAUACCGGAUAGGAGCUCCUGCUGCAUGGUGGGGGUUGGAAAGUUUCGGCGGUUGGGGAUGGACUCGCGGCUUAUCAGCUUGUUGGUGGGGUAGUGGCUUACCAAGGCUUUGACGGGUAGCCGGCCUGAGAGGGUGACCGGCCACAUUGGGACUGAGAUACGGCCCAGACUCCUACGGGAGGCAGCAGUGGGGAAUAUUGCACAAUGGGCGGAAGCCUGAUGCAGCAACGCCGCGUGCGGGAUGACGGCCUUCGGGUUGUAAACCGCUUUCGCCUGUGACGAAGCGUGAGUGACGGUAAUGGGUAAAGAAGCACCGGCUAACUACGUG
rnacentral:rRNA from 1 species